AUGAACGCUAGCGGCAGGCUUAACACAUGCAAGUCGAGGGGCAGCGUGGAGCAGCAAUGCUCUGACGGCGACCGGCGGAAGGGUGCGUAACACGUGAGCGACUUGCCCGUCACAGGGGGGAUAACCGGCGGAAACGGCGACUAAUACCCCCAUACGAUGUGAUGCUGCAUGGCAUUGCAUUGAAAGAUUCAUCGGUGGCGGAUAGGCUCGCGGGACAUUAGCUAGACGGCGGGGCAACGGCCCACCAAGACUACGAUGGAUAGGGGUUCUGAGAGGAAGGUCCCCCACAUUGGAACUGAGACACGGUCCAAACUCCUACGGGAGGCAGCAGUGAGGAAUAUUGGUCAAUGGACGAGAGUCUGAACCAGCCAAGUAGCGUGCAGGAUGACGGCCCUAUGGGUUGUAAACUGCUUUUAUAAGGGAAUAAAGUGAGUCUCGUGAGACUUUUUGCAUGUACCUUAUGAAUAAGGACCGGCUAAUUCCGUG
rnacentral:rRNA from 1 species